rnacentral:rRNA from 1 species
UACGAAGGGGGCUAGCGUUGUUCGGAUUUACUGGGCGUAAAGCGCACGUAGGCGGAUUGUUAAGUGAGAGGUGAAAUCCCGGAGCUCAACUCCGGAACUGCCUUUCAUACUGGCAAUCUAGAGUCCGGAAGAGGUGAGUGGAACUCCUAGUGUAGAGGUGGAAUUCGUAGAUAUUAGGAAGAACACCAGUGGCGAAGGCGGCUCACUGGUCCGGUACUGACGCUGAGGUGCGAAAGCGUGGGGAGCAAAAGGG